rnacentral:misc_RNA from 1 species
ACAAUUGAUUCCAUGUCCUAUUAAAAAAGAACAUGAGACAUUUAAUUUAAGAUAAUUCAAUUCUCACAAUAAACAAAUGAAUGCAAAAAUUUAACAAAUGAAAAACUAGAAAAGAGCUAUGAAACUUAAUAGUGUGAAUAAAAACAUGAGAGGAAAUGCAUGCUUAUGAUGAAAGCUAUCCAAACACUUCAAGUCAGUUUAAACAAACGAAGCCAAUUAUUGCUGGAAACUUACUCGACCAAAGUCAUCUAACUUUGGUUUGGGUGGUUGGCUUAGACCACAAAGUAAAUUCUGCUACUACAUUACAAAUUUAUCCAAAAGGUUGGGUGGAUAAUUUCCACAUUUAAUGUAAAUAAAGCAAAAAAAAAUAAAGAAAAAAAGGAUUUUGUGUUGACAAUAGUAGCAAGAAAAUACUACACAACAUUAAAUGCUAAUGCUAUCACCCAGGUACAGUCCCACCAUAGCAGGAUCCAAAGAGUGAGGUUUUGGAGACAAUCCUAAUCUUCAUCAUUUUUGCUGUAAGUGGCUAUUUUUAAUACUCGAACCAGAAACGUUGUGAUUGAAAGCCCAAAACUCUUUCCAUUGCACCCGGCAAUAGCUCCUUGAAAAUCAAGAACUGCAUAUUGCAAAUUGAGUUGUAUAUGCAUUUCUUGUUAUGAAUUACGAUGUUUAUAACAGGAAUAUCAAGAUACUUAAGAAUUAAAUGAUGAGAGACUUUCAUCAAAAGAGACUGACGUUCAUCAAGGGAGACCAAGAGAAUUUCUUUGCAACUGCACUAAGGAAUAAGCUCAUAAAGACAAUGAUGCCAAUCAAUGUUAUCAUUAAGUAAGUAACAGGAAUUCCUGCAGUUCUCUGACAGACUUCUGUUCUAAAAAGUUUAUGAUUCUACAACGUAUACCCCUUUUCCAUAAGAUCAACAAACACCAAAACAUGUAGCCAUUAUGCAUUACCACAACUGAUUCGCAUAAAAUAAUUUACUAGAGGCUUUUGACACAAACAUAUCAUUCAGUAGAGAACUCAAAACGCACAAUGCAGCAGAAAAAACAAACCAAUUGUCAAUGACAUUUGAUCAUUGUCGCUUUAAAUCAUAAAAAGCUAAAUAAAAGAAACUUCGUUAUAAAGAGGAAAAGGGGGAAGCAAAAAAAAGUAAAGCAAUUGCCAAAUUCAAUAACAAAUGCAUACACUCAAAUUCUAUUUCUUCAAAUCCCAGAGCAUCUAGAUUUCCUAGAAAUGCUUUACAGUGAAUGAGCAUGUGAUAUGGCAAUCACCAAAUACCCACUCUCAAUCUAAACCUCAUAAAUCAAAAUCUGCAGCACAAUGGAUUAAAAUUAAGAAUUACCCCAACUACAACAUAAAAUUCAAAACCAGAAAUAAAUGAGGAAAUUGAGAUUAUCAAAAAGCCUGCCUCAAUUUUAAAAUUUAUGCCCUCAAAAUAAAAACAAAACACCACAAACAGAAAACUACCAUAUUAACAUCAUAUAUGUCAUUACAAAUAGAAACCACUGAAAUACAAUACAAACAAUCCAAAAUUACUCCAUUCAAAAAAUAAAUAAAUAAAGCAAAUGUUAAUAAAAUAACAAAUUUACCUGAGAGCCAGCAAGU